rnacentral:rRNA from 1 species
UACGGGGGGGGCAAGCGUUGUUCGGAAUUACUGGGCGUAAAGGGUUCGUAGGUGGCUUGCUCAGUCAGACGUGAAAUCCCUCAGCUUAACUGGGGAACUGCGUCUGAUACUGGCGAGCUUGAGUGCAGGAGAGGAACGCGGAAUUCCAGGUGUAGCGGUGAAAUGCGUAGAUAUCUGGAGGAACACCGGUGGCGAAGGCGGCGUUCUGGACUGCAACUGACACUGAUGAACGAAAGCCAGGGGAGCAAACGGG